UCGAUUAUCAACAGCAAUUAUUGCUUUGCCGAAAAAUAAGAAAUGAAUAGGAAAAAAAAGAUCAGUUAAUAAUAUAAAGGAGAGGCGUAAGAAAAGUCAGCAUAUUUAAACUUCAAGCCUUUACCCUGUCUUGUUGAUAUUAGUUCUCUAUUUUCAUUCUAAAAUUUCAAAGAUGAAGAGUUCCAAAGGGAAAACAUUGAUGAUGAAAUGGAUAUUACAAACGAAAAACAAAAUGGUCACACCGUCAAUGUAGGAGGGAAAUCGUGGAUUGAAGAACUAGGAAGUCAACAACAUAACCAAAAGUGUGAUGUCGACAAAACAUUGAAUGAAUUGUUUGGUUUAUCUGAUGAUAGUUUAUUAACAGAGGAGGAGGAAAUCCCAGUUCAACUGAUGGUAGCUUUGUUUCUGUGGAGUUAUGCCUUGUAUUUUUUCAAUUUGGAGGAUCUCUUGUAAUUUCAUUCCUACUCUAUCAAAUAUGUGUUACAAGGGAUUAGUGGCCACUUCUGUUUGUCCCAGGUGUGGAGGGGCUGAUGAGAUUCUGGACCAUACAUUUCAAUAGUGCCCUGUAACAGUAAAAAUGUGGACAAUAUUAAAUUUCACAUGGGUUUUGACAAGGCCAGAUUUGGACAGUAUUGAGUGGCUUACCUGGGUUUCCAAAGGAAGCUCAACGUUCCAACCAAGGCUGUUCUGUUGUGCUUAUGGGCUCUCUGGACUAAUAGAAACAAGAGAGUGGAUGAAAGGAAAAUCAAAUCGGGAAGGGAGAUCUCAAAUUUCAUUACUAGUUACAUCAAAGAAAUAGACGAUUCUGCAGAAAGGGCUCUUACCAAGAGCCGCAAGACUGUGAAAUGGGUGCCCUCAACUAGGCCGGUCUAGAUCGGGUUCAGGGAUUUUUGCAAGGAAUACUGCGGGAGAGGUUCUGGUAUCAAGAUUGGUUUUGCAUGAUGAUGAUGGGUUUGUGUUUGCAGCAAAGGCCCUUGUGUUCUCAUGGGCGGUGCAAACGGGGUGGAAAUGGGUUUGUCAGAGGCAAUAAUAGAGGGGGAUUCAUUAAUAAUGAUAAUAAUAAUAAUAUUUUAGUCAAAUACAUUAGAUAAAUCAGAGAUCGUAGCAUAUAUUAGAAACAUUCAGCAUUUUUGGAGUUUAAGAUUCAAACAUGCGUAAAGGAUGACAAAUCAACUAGCCCACAUUCUAGCAACUAAGAGUCUGAAAAGAGGAGAGCAGAUUUACUUGGAAGGAACUGUCCCUAGUUUUGCCGCGCGAAAGAUGGAGGAUGAAUGGCUAAGAGAACCCGAUUGAGUUGAAGCUUGCGCAGAAAAGGUCAUUGGAGAGAAGAACGACGUUAAAAAUGGUGAAGUGAAGAUAGGGAAAUGCGUUCUUUGGGAACUGAAACUGACAGACUUAAAACGUGAUAUGCAUUGAUGGGAAUGGGUGUCAGUUAAUAGUUUUUGACUGGGCUGAGUUUUCUUUAAUUAACUUUGAUUUAGUUUUAUUUUUAAAGGCUUAGGAUCGGAUUAUUUUGCCUUGGGCUGAACUUUUGUCUUUGGGUUAGUUUUGUAUAAUUAAUAAAAGCCCAGUCCGAUAUUAUUUCAAAAAUAAAAUUCUAAAAAAAUUUUAAAA
rnacentral:lncRNA from 1 species